rnacentral:rRNA from 1 species
CCUACGGGAGGCAGCAGUAAGGAAUAUUGGUCAAUGGGCGAAAGUCUGAACCAGCCAUGCCGCGUGAAGGAUUAAGGCCCUCUGGGUUGUAAACUUCUUUUAUCUGGGACGAAAAAAGGGUAUUCUUACUCACUUGACGGUACCAGAGGAAUAAGCACCGGCUAACUCCGUGCCAGCAGCCGCGGUAAUACGGAGGGUGCAAGCGUUAUCCGGAUUUACUGGGUUUAAAGGGUGCGUAGGUGGGCUUGUAAGUCAGUGGUGAAAUCUCCGGGCUUAACCCGGAAACUGCCAUUGAUACUAUAGGUCUUGAAUUAUCUGGAGGUAAGCGGAAUAUGUCAUGUAGCGGUGAAAUGCUUAGAUAUGACAUAGAACACCAAUUGCGAAGGCAGCUUACUACGGAUAUAUUGACACUGAGGCACGAAAGCGUGGGGAUCAAACAGGAUUAGAUACCCUGGUAGUCCACGCCCUAAACGAUGGAUACUCGACAUACAGCGAUACACUGUUGGUUGUNUGAGCGAAGACAUAAGUAUCCACCGUACGGAAGUACGAGCGCGAAGUAGUAGUUAACGUUACGUAAAGUUAAGUUAGUAGGCGNGNGAGAGCGACGACGACGACGAGGAGGAGGNG